CAGAAAGGUUAUGUAAACUCACGUUUGAAUGUCAGUCUUUCUAGCUAACCAAGAAGCCUUGCCGAAUGUCACUCAUCUUAGUUCCUUGUCAUUAAAAAACUUCGUUUCGAGCUCUGCUUUGUUAUUAAAUUAUUUCUUCAAAGUGCU